ensembl:snoRNA SNORD58 Small nucleolar RNA SNORD58
UUGCUCUGAUGACUUCUUAGGACACCUUUGGAUUCUGAUGAAAACAACCUGUUGAACUCUGAGCGAC